AGAGAGAGAGAGAGAGAGAGAGAGAGUCUUUUCCUUUACCGUUAUAUUUUUUUCUCCAAAGUUUAGCCACGUAAGAUUAUGAUUACAACAGAGAACACGUCAUGGGAUAAUUCUCAUACAGAUUCGUGAUGAGGGAGCACAGCGUUCAAGAAUACGGGCCUGAAGUGUGUCUCCGCGGAGGUGUGUACGAGUGUAGACACAUUUGCUGCUGCUUGAGAACCGCCGCCUGUGCGUGUGUGGAGGAGGAGAGGACUUUGCCUUGUGGGUCGCGUCGCUUGUUGUCAAUGGAACACCCCACGAACAGCCAGAGUAUGGGAGCCCAACACCCCACCCCCGGGAGACACACACACACCUGCAGCCUCCCACGCCUCGCCGAAUAAGGCCACAUGUUUAGGGCGUGGGUAGCUGCCGUGACGGAGAUGCCGGUUGAUAAUGCGUGCGAUAUUAAUACUUUAGGAGUCUCAUGAAGGGAGCGAUUGAACAUUACCAGUGUAAGGAUAUUUGUCGUAUACUUUGAGGGUUCUGGUUCUGGUUCUUGUUCUUGUUAGGGCCGUGAAACUUUGAAGCUAAUAAGAGAGAGAAAUUGAAGGGGUACUAAGAAUGGCUAAUAAGAACAUUGGUGACUUGGUGGUGUUGAUGCACUACGCUGGUAAAAGCAUAAGAACACAAGCCAAAAGACCUACACAUGCCAGUCCUUGUAUGAAACAUGAUAAAAUACUUAUACCCACUUCAUCAUCCUAUCCUUAAAUUUCUCUGAUCUUUUAAAGCUCCUCAAUAGCUCAGCACUAACAACAUGAUGAGUGAGUCCAUUCCAGUCAUCCAUCCCUUUAUUUGUUGUCAGUGGCGUCUUUAGAACAUAAACUUGCACCAUGACAUAAGAACAUGAGAAAAUAAGGGAAGCUGCAAGAAGCCGUCAGGUCUACCCACACAUGGCAGUCCCUGCUUGAAACAUAGUACCAUAUUUUGAAGUACUUCUGCACCGCAUCUCGACUGCUUUCAAAAAGACUUUAGUUAAAGUUACACAGGUUUCCAAGAGUGUUUAUGGGGUUCUAGUGAGAUAUUAAUACGAUCUCUAUAUUAUUAACAGAAGAAAUACUCUUGAGAACCCUGCUAAUAAUCUCUGUGGUCUUUGAAAAUAGUGGUAGUGAGAAAGCAAAGCGUUUUAGAAUACGGUCCAUACUGUCAUUCUAUUAAACUGGAGGAGAAACCGUAGCCUUCAUAGUAGAUAACGUAUAAUAAUAAGCAAAAUGUUGUUCCCUCACAUUCACCAUCGCGUGUUCAAUAACAAGUGUAUAGGA